rnacentral:rRNA from 1 species
GAUGAACGCUGGCGGCGUGCUUAAUACAUGCAAGUCGAGCGAACAGACGAGGAGCUUGUUGCUCUGACGUUAGCGGCGGACGGGUGAGUAACACGUGUAUAACCUACCUAUCAGUCUGGGAUCAUCUGGAGAAACCGGAGCUAAUACCGGAGAAUAUAUUGCACCGUAUGGUUCAUUAGAGAGAGACGGUUUUGCUGUAUGUUAUAGAUGGUUACGCGCGGGAUUAGCUAGUUGGUAGGGUACCGGCUUACCAAGGCGACGAUGCGUAGACGACCUGAGAGGGGGAUCGGCGACCCGGGAACGGGGACAGCGACCAGACUCCUACGGGAGGGAGCAGUAGGGAAUCUUCCGCAAUGGGCGAAAGCCUGACGGAGCAAGGGCGCGUGUGUGAUGAAGGCCUUCGGAUCGUAAAGCUCUGUUAUGAGGGAAGAACAAAUGUGGAAGUAACUGUAGCCGUAGUGACGGUAACUAAUAAGAAAGCCCCGGCUAACUACGUG